rnacentral:rRNA from 1 species
UACGGGGGAUGCAAGCGUUAUCCGGAAUCAUUGGGCGUAAAGCGCCUGUAGGUUGUUUAAUAAGUCUGUUGUUAAAGACUAGGGCUCAACCCUAGAAAAGCAAUGGAAACUACUAGACUAGAGUAUGGCAGGGGUAGAGGGAAUUUCUAGUGUAGCGGUGAAAUGCGUAGAUAUUAGAAAGAACACCGGUGGCGAAAGCGCUCUACUGGACCAUUACUGACACUCAGAGGCGAAAGCUAGGGUAGCAAAAGGGAUUAGAUACCCCUGUAGUCCUGGCCGUAAACGAUGGAUACUAGAUGUUGUGUUUAUUCACAGUGUCCUAGCUAACGCGUUAAGUAUCCCGCCUGGGGAGUACGCUCGCAAGGGUG